CGUCGAUCAUCCGAUGAACCCUCGGUGAUGCUCCUGCGGACUUCCGGCAAACUCCUGGACUUGCGAUGAUCCACUUGGCGAGUUCCGACGAGCUUCUUUGGCAAGCUCAUGGACUUCUCGGAUUUGUUCCCGCAGAACCUCCGACGACUGUCCGAACUUCCGUUGAACUCUCGAACUCCCAACGUGAUCAUUGUCUUGACUCCGGCGCAACUCCUACUGCAUGUCUUACUUUCAUCGUAGUUAAUCCUGCACACUUAAAACAAAACUUCGAUCGAGACAAUUAAUCCUAAGCAAUUAACCAAGUUGUCCGGCAUGUCAUUGGUCCCUCGACGCUUCGUCCGAUUCUUCGGUGCAUCGUCCUCUCCUGCAGCCUAUUGCCCAUA
rnacentral:lncRNA from 1 species